UCCAGACUCCUACGGGAGGCAGCAGUGAGGAAUAUUGGUCAAUGGCCGAGAGGCUGAACCAGCCAAGUCGCGUGAGGGAAGAAUGUCCUAAGGAUUGUAAACCUCUUUUGUCGGGGAGCAAAAAGGCUCUGCGGAGUCGUAUUGAGAGUACCCGAAGAAAAAGCAUCGGCUAACUCCGUGCCAGCAGCCGCGGUAAUACGUAGGGAGCAAGCGUUAUCCGGAUUUAUUGGGUGUAAAGGGUGCGUAGACGGGAAUGCAAGUUGGUUGUGAAAUCCCUCGGCUUAACUGAGGAACUGCAACCAAAACUACAUUUCUUGAGUGCUGGAGAGGAAAGUGGAAUUCCUAGUGUAGCGGUGAAAUGCGUAGAUAUUAGGAGGAACACCAGUGGCGAGGGCGACCUUCUGGACAGUAACUGACGUUGAGGCACGAAAGUGUGGGGAGCAAACAGGAUUAGAUACCCUCGUA
rnacentral:rRNA from 1 species